CAAGAACUCAGAUAAAGGGCAUAAUGAGAGACUGAAGAAAACACAUCACAAAAGGUAGUAUCCUCCCCAAACAUGGAAAGUGUUCAGAGAGUUUCCCAUUAUCUCACAGAAAUUAUAGAUAAGCAACCAUUCUCUUUUAUAAAAAAGAAAGAAGAGCUCUUCUUUGGGUUACAAGAUAUCGAUUACAUGCCCACAUGAGGAGAUUUAUGUGUAUUAAUUCAUUUAAUAUUCACAAUGACCUUUGGAGAAUGAAGAACAAAUCAACAAAAAUUAAGUCAAAACACAACUUUCUAGAAUACAGACUUAAAAAUCUGAAGCUCAAAUGGAUACAUGGUGUCCCAACAAAAUUUGGUAUUGAAUGAUUCACAGAAAGGCAUUUCCAACAAUGCUCAACCCUAAAAGCACUAUCCAGUAUAUAGUACAUACUCAGUUGUUAAUUGGGUAAGAGUAUGGAAGAAGGUAUCCUAUGGUUCUGUGAACAAGCAAGCCACAUGAAAGAAUAAAAAGGCAAGCUGGUCUUUGGCUUUAUUAGAGCAUCACCCAGUGCCAGAAGAUAGUGAAGAAAUGUCUAAGAAAUGUCUAAGAGUUAAC
rnacentral:lncRNA from 1 species